AGAUUCUGACUCUGGUGACUCUGAUACAGGAUCGGCUGACGGAAGCAGACCAUCUUUCUCAACCAGCAGCAGUGGGAUGCCCAGUGACAAACCUGUCUGAACAUCAGUGGAAUGGAAAUUUUCUUCCCACAGAUGAAGCCCAAGAAUGCCCCUACAAGCUAUUGUUCUGGAUGCUCUUAAAAGCAAAUUUUACAAAUAGGUCAGAUUAUUAAAUAGCACCUGUUACAAACUAGAUAUGCCAUAAAUCUUGUUUUGGUGAUUUGGUGUCUUGAACCAAAGUCGGGGAGUUGGUUACAUGUAACAACAUUACAAAAUCAAUGUAUUUGUAAUGCGUUCCAAUUACUGAGA